rnacentral:rRNA from 1 species
UACGUAGGGUGCGAGCGUUGUCCGGAAUUAUUGGGCGUAAAGAGCUUGUAGGCGGUUUGUCGCGUCUGCUGUGAAAAUCCGGGGCUCAACCCCGGACUUGCAGUGGGUACGGGCAGACUAGAGUGUGGUAGGGGAGACUGGAAUUCCUGGUGUAGCGGUGAAAUGCGCAGAUAUCAGGAGGAACACCGGUGGCGAAGGCGGAUCUCUGGGGCCAUUACUGACGCUGAGGAGCGAAAGCGUGGGGAGCGAACAGG